rnacentral:rRNA from 1 species
GAUGAACGCUGGCGGCGUGCCUAAUACAUGCAAGUCGAGCGAACAGACGAGGAGCUUGCUCCUCUGACGUUAGCGGCGGACGGGUGAGUAACACGUGGAUAACCUACCUAUAAGACUGGGAUAACUUCGGGAAACCGGAGCUAAUACCGGAUAAUAUAUUGAACCGCAUGGUUCAAUAGUGAAAGACGGCUUUGCUGUCACUUAUAGAUGGACCCGCGCCGUAUUAGCUAGUUGGUAAGGUAACGGCUUACCAAGGCAACGAUACGUAGCCGACCUGAGAGGGUGAUCGGCCACACUGGAACUGAGACACGGUCCAGACUCCUACGGGAGGCAGCAGUAGGGAAUCUUCCGCAAUGGGCGAAAGCCUGACGGAGCAACGCCGCGUGAGUGAUGAAGGUCUUCGGAUCGUAAAACUCUGUUAUUAGGGAAGAACAAAUGUGUAAGUAACUAUGCACGUCUUGACGGUACCUAAUCAGAAAGCCACGGCUAACUACGUG